rnacentral:rRNA from 1 species
AUGCCAAAUGGCUCCUUGGACGCUCAUCUCUUUAGAGAGAAAUCUGGUGUGUUGAGUUGGAAUGUUCGGUACCAAAUUGCACUAGGCAUCGCCAAGGGUCUCGCCUAUCUGCAUGAAGAAUGUGAGGACUGGAUCAUACACUGCGACAUCAAACCUGAGAACAUACUGCUCGACGCGGAAUUCUGCCCCAAGAUUGCGGAUUUCGGCAUGGCGAAGCUGCUUGGACGGGAAUUCAACUCCGCGCUGACCACCAUGCGAGGAACCAUGGGAUACCUCGCGCCGGAGUGGUUGUCCGGGCAGCCCAUCACCAGGAAGGCCGACGUGUACAGCUUCGGCAUUGUGCUCUUCGAGAUCAUCUCGGGGAGAAGGUGCACUGAGGUGGUGAAAAUUGGGAGCCAUCGGUAUUUUCCUCUCCACGCGGCUGCUCGGGUGAACGAAGGGGAGGUUCUGUGCCUGCUGGAUGCUAGGCUGGAAGGCGAUGCUAAUGUGGAGGAGCUGGAGGUCAUCUGCAGGGUCGCCUGCUGGUGCAUCCAGGACCAGGAGAACGAUAGGCCGUCAAUGGGGCAAGCUGUUCGCAUGUUGGAAGGUGUCCUAGACGUUGAUAUGCCUCCAAUACCAACUUCGCUUCAGGACCUUAUGGAGGGUGAUGAAAGUGAUAUAUAUCCUGAUUCCUGA